GACCCCUUCGUCUAGUGGCCCAGGACUCUGCCUUUUCAAGGCAGCAACAGAGGUUCAAAUCCUCUAGGGGUCGCCA
rnacentral:tRNA from 1 species